rfam:Myotis lucifugus cont2.18084, whole genome shotgun sequence.
GCCGGUUUGGCUCAGUGGAUAGAGCAUCAGCCUGCACACUGAAGGGUCCUGGGUUCGAUUCCCAUCAAGGGCA